rnacentral:rRNA from 1 species
UCGUGAGACAGUUCGGUCCCUAUCCGUCGCGGGCGUAGGAAAUUUGAGAGGAGCUGCCCUUAGUACGAGAGGACCGGGGUGGACGUACCACUGGUGUAUCAGUUGUUCCGCCAGGAGCAUCGCUGAGUAGCUAUGUACGGAUGAGAUAAACGCUGAAAGCAUCUAAGUGUGAAACUCGCCUCGAGAUGAGAUUUCCCAUUCAGUAAUGAAGUAAGACCCCUUAUAGAUGAUAAGGUAGAUAGGCUAGAAGUGGCAGUACGGUGACGUAUGGAGCGGACUAGUACUAAUGGUUCGAGGACUUAACCAA